rnacentral:rRNA from 1 species
AGUAACACGUGGAUAACCUACCUAUAAGACUGGGAUAACUUCGGGAAACCGGAGCUAAUACCAGAUAACAUGUUGAACCGCAUGGUUCAACAGUGAAAGACGGUCUUGCUGUCACUUAUAGAUGGAUCCGCGCCGCAUUAGCCAGUUGGUAAGGUAACGGCUUACCAAGGCAACGAUGCGUAGCCGACCUGAGAGGGUGAUCGGCCACACUGGAACUGAGACACGGUCCAG